UCUUUCUCAUUUAAAGAAUCCACAGUUAAAGAAAAAUUAUAUAAAAUGAUGCACUUCUUGAAGAAACACUAGGGUGCUUUUGUUGUAUUUUAUAACAGUAUUAUCCAACUAUUUGACCAUGUGAAAAAAUUGAAAUUCUGUAACUAUGUUAUAAUUUUUCAGCUUGGAUACAGAAACUUGUUGGUGCCUGUCAACUGACAUUUAUGUUGCAAAUUUCUUUGAACUCAUUUUGCUGUUGCUUUUUGGUAGCCCCUGUGCUAAAGUGAAUCUGUGUUAGGGAAGAAAAUGUCUUAAGAUGUGAUUUGUUGUCUACUGGUAGUUUUAAGUUUGGGGUCCUGUUUAUGGAUAAAGAUUUGAAAUAUUGAAAAUUAAGAUUUUUUUUCUUCACUGGGGGGGGACAGGAAAAAUAUUAAGACUUUUUUUUUCUUAAACAGUUUUCUUGACAUUUGGAUGGAUUUAUGAUUCAUUGAGUUGAAUAAUUUGCUCCACUAGGAUAUAUCACUUGACUUGCAUGUUUUUCUCAUCCUAUGCAAUUGUUGAUGUCAUUCCAUAAAUCUUUCAGAGAAGCCACCCGAUAUUUUUUAAUCCAUUAUUUCAUUUUAACCUAUGUGGUUAAUCUAUGUCAGGUGACUCCAUGUUACAAGUAAGUUUCUUGAGGCAUUUUAAAAACUAGUCCUAAAGACACAAAACCUAUUUUUAUUUGAUGUAUUUGGAUAAAAAGACAAUAAGGUAUGUAAAUUAAAUUGGAAUGAAAAUAGGUUGAUUGUUUUUAAAUUUCAAGAAAAAGGCUUUUUAAAAAAAAGUCCUUUCUUUUGUGAAAAAUAAUUGUCUAAUUAAAAUUUCAUGUAUGCUUUUUAUGACCUAGUCCAUUAUUAAAUUUUAAUGGCUAUGAUCAUUUUUUCCUUUGAAAUAAAUCUAAAAUUUUUUAAGUGUAUUAAUCUAGUAACUAUAAUUUAAGAAAUAAAUUAGUUAUAAAUAAAUUUGAUACUUUUUUAAGAUGUUGAUUGUCUUCAUAUUUAUUGAGUGUAAUGUUUAUUGUUUUUAAUCAAAAUACCACACAAAUUUCAUCAAAAAAAGAAAUCUGUGUGAAAAUUGACUACAUUUCUGAGAAUGGUAUUGACCAUUAUAAUCACUGAACUUCCUAGGAAGUAACAUUUAUACUACUUAGCCACCUUUUAUAGUGAUGUGUGAAAUCAUUUUUUAAAACUAUCAAAGAAUAACUUCAUUUUUUUACCUUGUAAUUGAUACUCAUAUUGAGUGGCAUACUUCAUCAUAUUUUGUUAGCACUAUCUUUCAUAGAGAACUGACAUGUAGACCUUUAGGAGGGCAUAUACUUUGAGUUUUUGUUAGUAGUGCUUUCUGCUUCUCUUUACACUAUACAAGUCAUAAGUUCUUUAUUGCUACAAGAAUCUUUAUAAUGUUAAUGAACACUAUUAGUACUUGAACAUUUUUUCACAGCAGGAUUUAGGGUUUUUUGGUUUUAUUUCUUUCUUUUGCAAGAAUACAUGGAUAUUAGUCUUUCUGGUCAGUAUUUUCCACUGUCUUCCCAGUUGAAACAAACAAGUAAUAAAUUCCAACUCUGUUAUUCCUGUGUUUGAAAUUUGUGCUCUCAAGUUAAUGAUCUAUACCAGAUAUUUAUCUCUUUUCAUUUAAUUGUGUCUAGACUUAUGAUAUCUUCUGUGAAAAUAAGUUAAAACUAUAAAGUACUAGUCAAUUACUAAAAAUAAAGUUUUUGAUGUAUCAUUUAAAACUGAGCCACAUUGUAGCUCCAAGUAUUUUCUUGAGAAUUCUCAAUAAACAAAUAUUUACUCUGCAUCUGUUCAGUGUGCAAGAUCAACCUUGAAGCUAGAGAAGCAAAGAAAAAGUGAAAAAUUCUUGUCAUCGAGAAGUUCACAUAUUGUAUGAUAAUGUACAUGUAAAUAUAGGGUAAUUUGAGAAAUUAAUUGAGGUGCCAGGUGAGAUUUUCUGAGUGAGUUGGAAAAAAAUUAAAAAUUCCUAGAAGCAGAAGUAAAGAAAGAAUACAUUGCUAUCAAGGACACGGAUGGGAAUUAUAGGUGGAAUUCCAGGUUCAGGAGAGCUAGUCGACCAGUUUGACUAGAAUGUGUAACGUGUGUGUAAAAUAAGGAAAUACAAUUUAG
ensembl:lncRNA